ACUCAAUGGACAUGAAUUUGAGUAAGCUCCGGGAGUUGGUGAUGGACAAGGAAGCCUGGCAUGCUGCAGUCCAUGGGGUCGCAAAGAGUCGGACACUACUGAGCAACUGAACUGAACUGAAUCUGAGGCUCAAGUAAAUAUGUUAGGAGGCUAAGGGAGCACACUAGAGGUUCCUUUGCAGGACCCCACCUCACCUGAGACCCUCCUUUACUGCUAGCUCUCCCCUAAGGGAUCAAAUCUCCAGAGUUUCUCCAUGAUUCUGAGGUAGGCGAUUGAUGGGCCUCUGGGCUGAGCUGCUGGUGUUUGUUAAGUGGAAUAAAGCUGAUGCCUUGUUUUCACUUAAACACCAAGGACAGAGCCCUUGUCCUUGAAGCUGAGCUCUGCUGGAAUAAAGAGAUAAAGUGGCCACUCCUGAGGUCAAGGAAGACUUCCCUGUCUGCACAUCCACAGGAAGUCUUCUUGGGGUAAAAAAUGGAGGGGGUGCCUCCCCAUAAUGAGUAUGGACAUGUACCCACAGGCAUCUGCAGUGGGAUUCAUCUUAGCCAAAAGGUGCAUGCAUCCCGGGGAGGGUCCUAGGACCAGACAGAUAUGAAAAAAGAAACAAGCUAAUUGGCCAAAGGUAAACAAAGAUCUGGAAGGACUGUCUUAUAUAAGUGAUUUAAUUCACUCCUUUACUACGCUUCUCCUGAUUAGAGAGGACCCCUAUACAUUUUCUUUGUAGGUGUGUUUUUCUGCCUUGCUUCUGUCUCAAAUAAUCUGCUUCUCCGUGUGCUUUCCCAUAUGCUGUGCUCCCAUAAACUUUGCACCUGUUUUUACGGUUUUCGCCUCCUUGAAACAUUCUUGCUUUCAAACGGGGAAAAGAGCCGGGGCUACUUUGCUUUUAGCCUCUAGCCCCUGGAGGUCUAGUGAUUAGUAUUCCUGGUUCAGUUCCUGGGCAGGGAACAAAGAUCUCUCUUCAGAACUGCAGUCUCUCCAAGAUCAUUUGGUGAGAAACCCGGGAGUUCAAGGUGAAUUGCAGAUCUCGCUAAAACUAUUGGCUGGAGACUCCUGAAUUUUACUCUCUCUUCCACGGGGCUGGGAUUUUCUUUCCUGCCUUACUUGCACAGCAAGAUUUUUUUUUACCUAAUUCUUUAAAAUCCUCUUGGGGAAAGACUAACUGAAGUCUUGCUGCUGCCAAGCCCAUACUUGACGCCUGUGGCACUUUCCACUUUAGCCAACUCCAGUUCCUCCAGGAGUUCCCCUUCACUCCAGGCCUCGGCAGCCCAUAGGCUGGGACAGACUACUUAUUGAGCAGGCCAGUUCCAAUCAGCCUACAUCCAGGGGCCAAUGCUGCAACUGGUUCAUUAGUCUGCCAUCAUAAGCCUGCUGCCUUUAGAACUGCAAGAUGUUCCUGACAACCUCAACAUAGUGGCUAUCCGGGGGCGGCUUCCUCUGACUCCCAGGCUGCAGGAACUUCUUAAUGUGCAGCUCCCAGUGCAGGAAGGACCCAAGUGACAUUUCCUCUCUGAAAAACUACCACCUCCCCAGUCCUCAUUUUCAAGGUAAAGACAUUAUGAUUUCCUUAGGAUGUCCCUGGAGCUCAGGGUGCUUUUGCCAACUUGAGUCUGUGGAAUUAUAUCUGGAAGAACUUUUAGACCCCAUCUAGUGGAGAAGGCAGUGGCACCCCACUCCAGUACUCUUGCCUAGAAAAUCCCAUGGACGG